AUUGAACGCUGGCGGCAUGCCUUACACAUGCAAGCCGAACGGUAACAGGUCUUCGGAUGCUGACGAGUGGCGAACGGGUGAGUAAUACAUCGGAACGUGCCCGAUCGUGGGGGAUAACGGAGCGAAAGCUUUGCUAAUACCGCAUACGAUCUACGGAUGAAAGCAGGGGACUGCAAGGCCGUGCGAGAACGGAGCGGCCGGUGGCAGAUUAGGUAGUUGGUGGGAUAAAAGCUUACCAAGCCGACGAUAUGUAGCUGGUCUGAGAGGACGACCAGCCACACUGGGACUGAGACACGGCCCAGACUCCUACGGGAGGCAGCAGUGGGGGAUUUUGGACAAUGGGCGCAAGCCUGAUCCAGCAAUGCCGCGUGCAGGAUGAAGGCCUUCGGGUUGUAAACUGCUUUUGUACGGAACGAAAAGGCUCUGGUUAAUACCUGGGGCUCAUGACGGUACCGUAAGAAUAAGCACCGGCUAACUACGUGCCAGCCGCCGCCGUAAUAC
rnacentral:rRNA from 1 species